GAUGAACGCUAGCGGCAGGCCUAAUACAUGCAAGUCGAACGAUAGUAUUAAGCUUGCUUAAUAUGAAAGUGGCGCACGGGUGCGUAACGCGUAUGAAACCUACCUUAAUCAGGGGGAUAGCCUUUCGAAAGAAAGAUUAAUACCGCAUAAUAUCACGAUGGGGCAUCCUGUUGUGAUCAAAUAUUUAUAGGAUUAAGAUGGUCAUGCGUGACAUUAGCUAGUUGGAGAGGUAAUGGCUCACCAAGGCGACGAUGUCUAGGGGAUCUGAGAGGAUGGCCCCCCACACUGGUACUGAGACACGGACCAGACUCCUACGGGAGGCAGCAGUAAGGAAUAUUGGUCAAUGGGCGGAAGCCUGAACCAGCCAUGCCGCGUGCAGGAAGACGGCCCUAUGGGUUGUAAACUGCUUUUAUUCGGGAAUAAAUCUUUCUACGUGUAGGGAGUUGAAUGUACUGAAAGAAUAAGGAUCGGCUAACUCCGUGCCAGC
rnacentral:rRNA from 1 species